AUUGAACGCUGGCGGCAGGCUUAACACAUGCAAGUCGAGCGGGGGAGGUUGCUUCGGUAACUGACCUAGCGGCGGACGGGUGAGUAAUGCUUAGGAAUCUGCCUAUUAGUGGGGGACAACAUCUCGACAGGGAUGCUAAUACCGCAUACGUCCUACGGGAGAAAGCAGGGGACCUUCGGGCCUUGCGCGAAUAGAUGAGCCUAAGUCGGAUUAGCUAGUUGGUGGGGUAAAGGCCUACCAAGGCGACGAUCUGUAGCGGGUCUGAGAGGAUGAUCCGCCACACUGGGACUGAGACACGGCCCAGACUCCUACGGGAGGCAGCAGUGGGGAAUAUUGGACAAUGGGGGGAACCCUGAUCCAGCCAUGCCGCGUGUGUGAAGAAGGCCUUUUGGUUGUAAAGCACUUUAAGCGAGGAGGAGGCUACUGGUAUUAAUACUACCGGAUAGUGGACGUUACUCGCAGAAUAAGCACCGGCUAACUCUGUGCCAGCCGCCGCAGUAACAC
rnacentral:rRNA from 1 species